AACGACCAGCUUAGAGCAAAGACAAACCCUGAAAGUAGCCCAAUCGGAAGGGGCUUGGCUUUUCCUGUUAAAAUCUGACAAAGAACAGGACGAGAGGGAGUCUCGAAGAACUGUUUUUUUUUUUUUCAGCCGGUUUGACUCUGUCGUCCCUCAAGACCACUUUUGCGCAGGCGCAGAGCUACUAGACACAGAAACGAACACGUCACCAGUGAGAAGUUGUGCAGAGCCCAACACGAGCUUCACUUCCAAGCUGCCACCUAUCUCUGCCUCUUGCGUAGUAUCCGGCAACAUGUAGCCCUUCAUCAGGAAUUUCAUGGCAAGGGUGAGCGCUCAGUGGAGGAGUCUGCUGGUUUGGUGGGCCUCCAGUUGCCCCAUCAGCCUGGAGGGAAGGGCUGGGAGCCAUGAUGCAGAAAGUCCUCAGAUGUUUCUUCAUUCAAGAAUUUAACCAUUUCUACCAAUAUGUAUUUAUCAUUAAAUCUUUUUUAAAGUGU
rnacentral:lncRNA from 1 species